rnacentral:rRNA from 1 species
UUGCACGCUGGCGGCAGGCCUAACCCAUGCCAGUCGAGCGGAUGAAGGGAGCUUGCUCCUGGAUUCAGCGGCGGACGGGUGAGUAAUGCCUAGGAAUCUGCCUGGUAGUGGGGGAUAACGUCCGGAAACGGGCGCUAAUACCGCAUACGUCCUGAGGGAGAAAGUGGGGGAUCUUCGGACCUCACGCUAUCAGAUGAGCCUAGGUCGGAUUAGCUAGUUGGUGGGGUAAAGGCCUACCAAGGCGACGAUCCGCAACUGGUCUGAGAGGAUGAUCAGUCACACUGGAACUGAGACACGGUCCAGACUCCUACGGGAGGCAGCAGUGGGGAAUAUUGGACAAUGGGCGAAAGCCUGAUCCAGCCAUGCCGCGUGUGUGAAGAAGGUCUUCGGAUUGUAAAGCACUUUAAGUUGGGAGGAAGGGCAGUAAGUUAAUACCUUGCUGUUUUGACGUUACCAACAGAAUAAGCACCGGCUAACUUCGUG